rnacentral:tRNA from 1 species
CGGGGCGUAGCUCAGCUGGUUUAGAGCGUCCGGUUUGGGACCGGAAGGUCGCUGGUUCAAAUCCAGUCGCCCCGA